rnacentral:rRNA from 1 species
GAUGAACGCUAGCGGCAGGCUUAACACAUGCAAGUCGAGGGGUAUAGUUCUUCGGAACUAGAGACCGGCGCACGGGUGCGUAACGCGUAUGCAAUCUACCUUUCACAGAGGGAUAGCCCAGAGAAAUUUGGAUUAAUACCUCAUAGUAUUAUAGAAUGGCAUCAUUUUAUAAUUAAAGUCACAACGGUGAAAGAUGAGCAUGCGUCCCAUUAGCUAGUUGGUAAGGUAACGGCUUACCAAGGCAACGAUGGGGUAGGGGUCCUGAGAGGGGAGAUCCCCCCACACUGGUACUGAGACACGGACCAGACUCCUACGGGGUGGCUG